rnacentral:rRNA from 1 species
UAAUACGGAGGGUGCGAGCGUUGUCCGGAAUCACUGGGCGUAAAGGGCGCGUAGGUGGCUUGGCAAGCGUGCGGUGAAAGCCCGGGGCUCAACCCCGGGUCGGCCGUGCGGACUGCCAUGGCUUGAGCACUGUAGAGGCAGGUAGAAUUCCGGGUGUAGCGGUGGAAUGCGUAGAGAUCCGGAAGAAUACCGGUGGCGAAGGCGGCCUGCUGGGCAGUGGCUGACACUGAGGCGCGACAGCGUGGGGAGCAAACAGGAUUAGAUACCCUGGUAGUCCACGCCA